GGCGGGACGGCUGCGGGACGCGCUGCGGGAGGAGCUCUCGGCGUGACGCCGGACACUCCGGCUCCUACUGAUUU
rnacentral:tRNA from 1 species